UACGUAGGUCCCGAGCGUUGUCCGGAUUUAUUGGGCGUAAAGCGAGCGCAGGUGGUUUAUUAUGUCUGGUGUAAAAGGCAGUGGCUCAACCAUUGUAUGCAUUGGAAACUGGUAGACUUGAGUGCAGGAGAGGAGAGUGGAAUUCCAUGUGUAGCGGUGAAAUGCGUAGAUAUAUGGAGGAACACCGGUGGCGAAAGCGGCUCUCUAGCCUGUAACUGACACUGAGGCUCGAAAGCGUGGGGAGCAAACAGG
rnacentral:rRNA from 1 species